rnacentral:rRNA from 1 species
CUCAGUAACACGUCGGUAACCUACCCUCGGGAGGGGGAUAACCCCGGGAAACUGGGGCUAAUCCCCCAUAGGCCUGAGGUACUGGAAGGUCCUCAGGCCGAAAGGGGCUCUGCCCGCCCGAGGAUGGGCCGGCGGCCGAUUAGGUAGUUGGUGGGGUAACGGCCCACCAAGCCGAAGAUCGGUACGGGCCAUGAGAGUGGGAGCCCGGAGAUGGACACUGAGACACGGGUCCAGGCCCUACGGGGCGCAGCAGGCGCGAAACCUCCGCAAUGCGGGCAACCGCGACGGGGGGACCCCCAGUGCCGUGGCAUCGCCACGGCUUUUCCGGAGUGUAAAGAGCUCCGGGAAUAAGGGCUGGGCAAGGCCGGUGGCAGCCGCCGCGGUAAUACCGGCGGCCCGAGUGGUGGCCGCUAUUAUUGGGCCUAAAGCGUCCGUAGCCGGGCCCGUAAGUCCCUGGCGAAAUCCCACGGCUCAACCGUGGGGCUUGCUGGGGAUACUGCGGGCCUUGGGACCGGGAGAGGCGGAGGGUACUCCUGGGGUAGGGGUGAAAUCCUAUAAUCCCAGGAGGACCGCCAGUGGCGAAGGCGCUCCGCUGGAACGGGUCCGACGGUGAGGGACGAAGGCCAGGGGAGCGAACCGGAUUAGAUACCCGGGUAGUCCUGGCUGUAAAGGAUGCGGGCUAGGUGUCGGGC